GAUGAACGCUGGCGGCGUGCCUAAUACAUGCAAGUCGAGCGAACAGACGAGGAGCUUGCUCCUCUGACGUUAGCGGCGGACGGGUGAGUAACACGUGGAUAACCUACCUAUAAGACUGGGAUAACUUCGGGAAACCGGAGCUAAUACCGGAUAAUAUAUUGAACCGCAUGGUUCAAUAGUGAAAGACGGUUUUGCUGUCACUUAUAGAUGGAUCCGCGCCGCAUUAGCUAGUUGGUAAGGUAACGGCUUACCAAGGCAACGAUGCGUAGCCGACCUGAGAGGGUGAUCGGCCACACUGGAACUGAGACACGGUCCAGACUCCUACGGGAGGCAGCAGUAGGGAAUCUUCCGCAAUGGGCGAAAGCCUGACGGAGCAACGCUGCGUGAGUGAUGAAGGUCUUCGGAUCGUAAAACUCUGUUAUUAGGGAAGAACAAAUGUGUAAGUAACUAUGCACGUCUUGGCGGUACCUAAUCAGAAAGCCACGGCUAACUACGUG
rnacentral:rRNA from 1 species